GAUGAACGCUAGCUACAGGCUUAACACAUGCAAGUCGAGGGGCAGCAUGAUUGAAGCUUGCUUCAAUCGAUGGCGACCGGCGCACGGGUGAGUAACACGUAUCCAACCUGCCGAUAACUCGGGGAUAGCCUUUCGAAAGAAAGAUUAAUACCCGAUAGUAUAGUAUUUUCGCAUGGUUUCACUAUUAAAGAACUUCGGUUAUCGAUGGGGAUGCGUUCCAUUAGAUAGUUGGCGGGGUAACGGCCCACCAAGUCAACGAUGGAUAGGGGUUCUGAGAGGAAGGUCCCCCACAUUGGAACUGAGACACGGUCCAAACUCCUACGGGAGGCAGCAGUGAGGAAUAUUGGUCAAUGGACGAGAGUCUGAACCAGCCAAGUAGCGUGAAGGAUGACUGCCCUAUGGGUUGUAAACUUCUUUUAUACGGGAAUAAAGUGGAGUAUGCAUACUCCUUUGUAUGUACCGUAUGAAUAAGGAUCGGCUAACUCCGUG
rnacentral:rRNA from 1 species